CAUCACCACGGGAAAGACACUUUCUUCAGGGACCUGGAAACGCUGGUGGCAUAGACUGGACAACUGGGACCUAGACCCUUCCUCACCUGCCAAGCCUCACUCAAGACAGAUCCUGGGAGGCAGGCGCGGGGCUUGAGCCGAGGGGAGGUGGGACGGCGUCCAGGGUUCCAGCAAUAUUAUUUAGCACCUACUGGCAUUCGACCAACAGAAGACAUAAGAAAAGAAUUGCCCUUCAGUUCUUAAUCAAACAACAUCGAUCAAGCAAUUACUGUAUAGAAGGUGCCAGGCAAGAAGCAUUCUUGUUUCCUGUCCUGAAGGACAGGUAAGACAUACAUAUAGGAUGUGAAGUUCAGGAUCAGUAAGAGAAACAUAGCAGUGCAGAACAAGGAUGCAGCGCUGGAUUCAUCGCCAAAUGAAGGACACAGGAAGUGUUCAUAUGGAAGUGUUGCAUGGAGUAGCUAAUGUAGCAAGACUUACUCCUAACCAAAGAUACCAGCAAAAGACAUAAAAGACAUUGCCAACAUGAAUGGCACUCUGAAGAAUCAGGUCAGGAGUUCAGAGGAGAGACUUGGCUAGAAUUGUUGGGGAUGGGUUUUGGAAGACGUGUGUGUGGUGGGCAUUUGCUGGGCUUUGAGUUUCUCCCUUAUUUUGGAGACUACCCUGAUCUCUUUCUGGGAAGAACCCCUCUCCACUUCAUCAAUCCAAGAACUGUCAGUUGGGUUACAGGUGGGAGCGUCACACUUCUCCCUCUGUCACCCAACCAUAACAUUGGUCCAGGGAUGGCCCUGUGACCCAAAGACAGCCAAGGAACACAUGGAACAUCUGCUGGGGCUGUUAGGAGAGAGGAACGUUCUCUUUCUCACUGAGCUUGAACCUGGAGUUCACUUGGCGAUGCAAAUGUCUUGCCAUCAGAAGUGUUGAGUCUGCCUGACAGCAACACCAACAUAGAGGACGCGAGACUGAGAGAUGACAUCAGGUGCUAGUGACUUCUUGCAAGACCCUGAAUCAAGCCAUGCCUGAAGACAGACCUCCCCCUGGACUUUUCAGCUGUAUGAUGAGGAAAUUGAGGCACAAAGAAUUUGCCAAAGUGACCCAGUUAAUAAGGGUCAGAGGUGGAAUUUUAAUCUGAAAGCUCAAGGAGACUAGAUCCUGCAUUCUCGACCUGGCCUCUUCUGCGUGUGGCCUCUUCUGCCUGAUGUGGCCUCUGCCUUGGGGAAGGAAAAGAGGCGGCUGUUGCUGAAAAGGGACACAGGAGAGCACAGGACUCAAGUUGUUUUUCCCGGAGCUGGCCCCGAUUUGAUGAUCUGUUCCUUAUUGCUCCGCUUUUGUUUUUUGUUUUUUGUUUUUUUGCUUUUUAAGUUUGCUGUUGGACAAAUGCUGACACUCUGGCUCCCCUGCCCUCAAUUAGCAACAGUCCUUGGGGCCAGCAGACGACUCCGGGCAACUGCUCCCGCUCAGGCCUGACACCCUCCUGGGCUGGCUGAUGACACGCAGAGGGGAGCGAGGCCGUCUGGACAGGCCUCCCCUGGCCCCAGCUGGCUCCCCGCUCCUCUCUGUCUCUUUCCGGCUCUGUAUCUCCUUCCCUUGGAUUGCCUCAGGAGAAGGAAAGAAGAAAUAUUUUUUAAAAAGAAGUUGAAUGAAACCAAACACUUGUAUUUCCAACUAUUGACAUUGGAUUUGUGCUUCUCCAGCCCAG